rnacentral:tRNA from 1 species
UGCGGGAUCGUCUAAUUGGCAGGACGGCUGACUCUGGAUCAGCUAGUGGGGGUUCGAGUCCUCCUCCCGCAGCCA